GUUCCCGUAGCUCAGCUGGAUAGAGCACCAGAUUCCUAAUCUGGGGGUCGUGGGUUCAAAUCCCGCCGGGGACGCCA
rnacentral:tRNA from 1 species